rnacentral:rRNA from 1 species
AUUGAACGCUGGCGGCAUGCCUUACACAUGCAAGUCGAACGGUAACGCGGGGCAACCUGGCGACGAGUGGCGAACGGGUGAGUAAUGCAUCGGAACGUGCCCAGUAGUGGGGGAUAGCCCGGCGAAAGCCGGAUUAAUACCGCAUACGACCUACGGGUGAAAGGGGGGGAUCGCAAGACCUCUCGCUAUUGGAGCGGCCGAUGUCAGAUUAGGUAGUUGGUGGGGUAAAGGCCUACCAAGCCGACGGUCUGUAGCUGGUCUGAGCGGACGACCAGCCACACUGGGACUGAGACACGGCCCAGACUCCUACGGGAGGCAGCAGUGGGGAAUUUUGGACAAUGGGCGCAAGCCUGAUCCAGCCAGGCCGCGUGCGGGAAGAAGGCCUUCGGGUUGUAAACCGCUUUUGUCAGGGAAGAAAUCUUCUGAGUUAAUACCUCGGGAGGAUGACGGUACCUGAAGAAUAAGCACCGGCUAACUACGUGCCAGCCGCCGCGGUAACAC